ACUCAGCCAGACUCAGCCCCACUGUCCCAUGCGCUGCUGGGCAGAGCACAUGCUUUAUGUGCAGAAGGUCCCAGGUUCAAUCCCUGGCAUCUCCAAGCAAGGCGGAGAAAGGGUUCUUCCUGGAACCCUGGAGAGCUGCUGCCUGUCAGUAGCUGGCUCCAGAAGAAGAAGAAGUCACCCAGGAGUUGUGGCAGGGAGAAGAGGCAACAGGUUAUCUGUCCUUGAAGAAAAAGAUGGAAUAGACACAGCAUCCCACCACCAGAUGAUCACCUCCAGCCAACUGCCAA